rnacentral:rRNA from 1 species
GGUCAGCGGGAUCGGAAAGACGCGGCGCUGAACUAACGCCCGGUACGGAGGGAUUCCCUCGAGUAACGGCGAUGUGAAGAGGGAAGAGCCAGCCCGCCGAGAAUCCCGCCCGCGGUGGGGGGACGUGUGGCGACGGAAGCCCCAUCCCCUGGCGGCCGCUCUCGGGGCCAAAGUCCUUCUGAUCGCAGGCCCAGCCGCGGACGGUGUGAGGGCGGUAGCGGCCGGGCGCGCCGGGCCCGGGGCUUCUCGGAGUCGGGUUGCUUGGGGAAUGCAGCCAAAGCGGGUGGUAACUCCAUCUAAGGCUAUACCGGCCACGAGACCGAUAGCCAACAAGUACCGUAAGGCGACAAGUUGAAAAGAACUUUGAAGAGAGAGUUCAAGAGGGCAGUGAAACCGUUAAGAGGUAACGGGUGGCGGUCCGCGCAGUCUGCCUGAGGAUUCAAACCGGCGCGGCAAGGUUCGGCCGGCGCGGCCGUCGGAUCCGCCUCCGCCUCUCCCCCGUCCCCUUCGCCGGGCGGGGCGGGCCAGGGGGGGGGCGGGCCGGGGACCGCCGCCCGGCCGGCGUCCGGCCCCCCCCCGGGCGCAUUUCCUCCGCGGCGGGUGCGCCGCGACGGCUCGGGGACGGCUGGGAAGGGCCUGGCGGCGGGCAGGGGGGGGGGCCUGGCGGCCGCGCGGGCGGCGGGCGGGUGUUAUAGCGCGGGCCCGGAUCGUCGGCCGAAUCGUCGGCCGAGGGGAGGAGGACCGCCGCCGCGCCCUCCCCCGGAGGGGCGGCCCCCCGGAGGCCCCCCCGCGGCCGGACCGGCGUCGGCCGGCGCCCGCGCGCGCGUCCCGCGCCGCCCGCCGUACCCGCGCUCGCUCUCUCUCCGCUUCCCCGCCCCCGGGUCCGUCCGCCGGGGCGCGGGGCGGGGGGGGUCGGGUGUCCGUGCGCGCGGCUCGGCGCGGCGCCGCGCGUGUGCGCCGCGCGCCUCCAGCCCGGCGCGGGGCGAGGCCGCGGGGGGGCGCCGGGGGGGGGAACCUUCCCCUUCUGUUUCGCGGCCGCCUCCGUUCCCGCGGGGGCGGCCCGUUCGGGGGACGGGCCCGCCGCCCCCGGCGGCCGCUGUCCGACCGGGGCGGACUGCGCUCAGUGCCGCCCCGGACCGCGCGGGCGCCGCCGGGCGGGCUCGGGCCACGCCAGGGCCGCCCGGGGUCCGCGGCGACGUCGGCUAACCCACCCGACCCGUCUUGAAACACGGACCAAGGGAGUCUAGCACGCGGCGCGAGUCGGCGGCUCGGCGCGAAAGCCCGCCGGGCGCAAUGAAGGUGAGGGCCGGCGCGCGCCGGGGCUGAGGUGGGAUCCCGGGGGCGGCAGGCGGAAGGCCCCGGCGGCACCACCGGCCCGUCUCGCCCGCCUCGCCGGGGGAGGUGGAGCAUGAGCGCGCCGUGCUAGGACCCGAAAGAUGGUGAACUAUGCCUGGGGCAGGCGAAGCCAGAGGAAACUCUGGUGGAGGUCCGCUAGCCGGUCCUGACGUGCAAAUCGGUCGUCCGACCCGGGGUAUAGGGGCGAAGGACUAAUCGAACCAUCUAGUAGCUGGUUCCCUCCGAAGUUUCCCUCAGGAUAGCUGGCGCUCGGGGCGGCGGUUGCAGUUUUACCGGUAAAGCGAAUGAUUAGAGGUCUUGGGGCCGAAACGAUCUCAACCUAUUCUCAAACUUUCAAUGGUAGACGCCCGGCUCGCUGGCGUGGAGCCGGGCCGUGGAAUGCGAGCGCUCAGUGGGCCACUUUUGGUAAGCAGAACUGGCGCUGCGGCGAUGAACCGAACGCCGGGUUAAGGCGCCCGAUGCCGACGCUCAUCAGAGCCCAGAAAAAGGUGUUGGGUUGAUCUAGACAGCAGGACGGUGGCCAUGGAAGUCGGAACCCGCUAAGGAGUGUGUAAACAAACUCACCUGCCGAAUCAAACUAGCCCUGAAAAUGGAUGGCGCUGGAGCGUCGGGCCCAUACCCGGCCGUCGCCGGCGGUGCGGAGCCGCGGGGGCUACGCCGCGACGAGUAGGAGGGCCGCUGCGGUGCGCCUGGAAGCCUGGGGCGCCGGGCCCGGGUGGAGCCGCCGGCAGGUGCAGAUCUUGGUGGUAGUAGCAACUAUUCAAACGAGAGCUUUGAAGGGCGAAGGUGGAGGCAGGGUUCCAUGUGAACAGCAGUUGAACAUGGUCAGUCGGUCCUAGGCGAAGGCGAGCGCCGUUCCGAAGGGACGGGCGAUGGCUCCGUUGCCCUCAGGCCGACGAAAGGGAGUCGGGUUCAGAUCCCCGAAUCCGGAGCGGCGGGACGGGCGCCGGAGGCGGCCCAGUGCGGUAACGGCAAGCGAUCCGGAGAAGCCGCGGGGAGCCCCGGGGAGGUUCUCUUUUCUUUGUGAAGGGCCGGGCGCCUGGAACGGGGUUCGCCCCGAGAGAGGGGCCGCGGCCUUGGAAAGCGUCGCGGUUCCGGCGGCGUCCGGUGAGCUCAUCGCUGGCCCGUUGAAAUCCGGGGGAGA